UACGAAGGGGGCUAGCGUUGCUCGGAAUUACUGGGCGUAAAGGGCGCGUAGGCGGAUAUCUAAGUUGGGGGUGAAAUCCCGGGGCUCAACCUCGGAAUUGCCUUCAAAACUGGAUAUCUUGAGUUCGGGAGAGGUGAGUGGAACUCCGAGUGUAGAGGUGAAAUUCGUAGAUAUUCGCAAGAACACCAGUGGCGAAGGCGGCUCACUGGCCCGAUACUGACGCUGAGGUGCGAAAGCGUGGGGAGCAAACAGG
rnacentral:rRNA from 1 species